ACCCCUCUGCAAGGCGGCCUCCUACGAUGAGUUUUAUAGCAACCGCAACCUGGAUGCUGUGGCCAAGGCUGUGCCCUCGGGGACGACGCUGGAGGGCACCAACGUGGCCAUCGCUGUCUUCCUGCCCGUGCUGGUGGUGGCCCUGCUCAUCGGGGGCAUUUAUCUCUACUUCUCCAAGCUCCAGGGGAAGCCAGCCCUGCAGCUGCCCCUGGCUGGCUCCCACCCCUACGACCACAUCACAGUGGAGUCGGCUUUUGACAAUCCCACCUAUGAGACAGGAUCUGUUUUCUUUGCAGGACACGAGGGAAUAUGAGGUGUCCAUCUAGGUGUGGGCAGCGUGGAGCAGGGCGCUGCAGCCACCCCUCCCCUCCGUGCCCGCCGGCCCCGNCG